GCUCUUCCGAUCUGUGAAAUUGUUGCAAGAAUUGACAUUUCUGAGCCACUACUCAUGGCUAUGUUUUAUUAAAGUAAACAUUCAGAGAAGAAGAGGAAUAGACAAUCAGACAUUCAGAUAUUUUGUCAACAUGCUAUGAAGUGUCCAGAUGUUUUGGAAACAUCUGGUGUUUGAUAAUUUUGUUUAUUCCCAUGGCUGUUUAGUGUUGCAUGUGCACAGAGAUGUCCCCUUAAUUUGAAGACUCUACUCAUCUCUUGGAGCAUUGUACUUCAUGUUGCACACCUGAACAUAUAAAAACAUACUUUAUAUCAUGGUCCACUGUAUUUGUGCAUAUUCACAUUUACAUCCAU